rnacentral:lncRNA from 1 species
ACAUGCACAUACAGUUUGUGAAACACCCACCUUUAAGUAAUAAUAAUAAAGGAUAUAUUCAGAUAUGCCUGAGCAGUACAAUAGCUAACCCACUAGCAGCAAACUAAGCUAUAUAUAUGCUCGCAGAGAUUAAAAGGAAUGCUUUGACAGAGCAGGCAUUAAUCCAAAGGAAGAGCUAUAUUCUUGUCCACCACUCUGUACAUGAACUCUUUUUUUUUUGAAACGUCACCGGGGGGCAGAAGACGACUGCCCACCUGAUACAUGAACUCUUUGGUCUAUUUCGCUGUCUCUUUUUGAUCAUUCCAGCAGCCAAGCACCUGCCAUAGCAAGAGUAUGGUGGAAAUCUCAGUUUAGUAUGGACUCACACUUUUGGGCACUUCAGGAUAUGAGAUGAUCAAAAUAGUUUAAUGUCUUGGAGAGAAAGCUAGGAACCAAUACGGCACCAAUCUACUUCACACAAGGUCAAGGGUAACGUCAGUGAGACGAACUCCGGCUGCUUGGCAGCGGCAUGGUUCCAGUCCCCUACAGCAGCUUGAGGCAAGCAACAGCCAUAAUACAAAGCUCUUUCUUCAGCAAACGGAG